rnacentral:tRNA from 1 species
UGGGGGUUCGUCUAAUGGCAGGACAGCAGACUCUGAAUUUGUAUAUGGAGGUUCGACUCCUUCACCCCCAG